rnacentral:rRNA from 1 species
GAUGAACGCUGGCGGCGUGCCUAAUACAUGCCAGUCGAGCGAACGGACGAGAAGCUUGCUUCUCUGACGUUAGCGGCGGACGGGUGAGUAACACGUGGAUAACCUACCUAUAAGACUGGGAUAACUUCGGGAAACCGGAGCUAAUACCGGAUAAUAUAUUGAACCGCAUGGUUCAAUAGUGAAAGACGGUUUUGCUGUCACUUAUAGAUGGAUCCGCGCUGCAUUAGCUAGUUGGUAAGGUAACGGCUUACCAAGGCAACGAUGCAUAGCCGACCUGAGAGGGUGAUCGGCCACACUGGAACUGAGACACGGUCCAGACUCCUACGGGAGGCAGCAGUAGGGAAUCUUCCGCAAUGGGCGAAAGCCUGACGGAGCAACGCCGCGUGAGUGAUGAAGGUCUUCGGAUCGUAAAACUCUGUUAUUAGGGAAGAACAUAUGUGUAAGUAACUAUGCACGUCUUGACGGUACCUAAUCAGAAAGCCACGGCUAACUACGUG